rnacentral:misc_RNA from 1 species
UCCGGUUUGUCACCGGCGGUCUCCUUAGAGUCCCCAGCUUGACCUGUUGGCAACUAAUGAUAGGGGUUGCGCUCGUUACGGGACUUAACCCAACACCUCACGGCACGAGCUGACGACAGCCAUGCAGCACCUAGUUUCGUGCUAUUGCUAGCUGCCAUGUUUCUACGGCAUUCACUAACUUUCAAGCCCAGGUAAGGUUCCUCGCGUAUCAUCGAAUUAAACCACAUGCUCCUCCGCUUGUGCGGGCCCCCGUCAAUUCCUUUGAGUUUCAGUCUUGCGACCGUACUUCCCAGGUGGAUUACUUAAUGCUUUCGCUCAGAGGCGUGCAGUGUAUCGCACACUUCGAGUAAUCAUCGUUUAGGGCGUGGACUAC